CAGCAGCCGCGGUAAUACCAGCACCUCGAGUGGUCAGGAGGUUUAUUGGGCCUAAAGCAUCCGUAGCCGGUUGCAUAAGUUUUCGGUUAAAUCUAUGCGCUUAACGUAUAGGCCGCCGAAAAUACUAUGCAGCUAGGGAGUGGGAGAGGUACACGGUACUCGAUAGGAAGGGGUAAAAUCCUUUGAUCUAUUGAUGACCACCUGUGGCGAAGGCGGUGUACCAGAACACGUUCGACGGUGAGGGAUGAAAGCUGGGGGAGCAAACCGGAUUAGAUACCCCCGUAGUCCCUGUCUCUUAUAA
rnacentral:rRNA from 1 species